rnacentral:rRNA from 1 species
UACGGGGGGAGCAAGCGUUGUUCGGAUUUACUGGGCGUAAAGGGCGCGUAGGCGGCGCAACAAGUCACUUGUGAAAUCUCCGGGCUUAACCCGGAGCGGCCAAGUGAUACUGUCGUGCUAGAGUGCGGAAGGGGCUACUGGAAUUCCUGGUGUAGCGGUGAAAUGCGCAGAUAUCAGGAGGAACACCAAUUGCGAAGGCAGCUCGCUGGGACGUUACUGACGCUGAGACGCGAAAGCGUGGGGAGCAAACAGG